UCGCGAUAAAGACAAACCCUGAGUGAUCAGGUGGCGCAAAGUAAAGGGUCUUUUAAACAGACCAAGAGCGCAGUUUAUAAAAGACCGCUUGUUGGGAAAAAAGAUAGCCUUACUGCCGAA
rnacentral:ncRNA from 1 species